UACUGCAGGAACGUAAAGAUGCAUGUGAAGACAAUCUUACACGCUGCAUUUGAGCUGCUCAGUUGUUGAUGGGUGUUCGUGCUACCUCGAGGUUGGAGCAGUCGCAUGUGCAAGCCAUCAGGGGCUUUGAGGACAGAAAGGCUGAGGUGUUGCGUGUGCUUUCUAGGAAGGCUCUUCAUCUCUUGCUUUCAGCAGUGCCCCAGAUCUGAGAAUCAAGGAGAAAAACACCCCACAG